AGUCUGGGGUUCUAUGAUUCUAUGAUUUAUAUUGGCUGAGAAACGCUAGAGCAGGAAGCCCAUGGACUAAACUGGUGUUGGCACCUGAAGAGAAGCAAGUGCUGUGGCCGGGUAUCGGGCACCAGGCUCUUGUUUUGGUUUAGACACUGACUCACCUGGUGAGCUCGGGGAAAUCAUUUCCCUUCUCUGUGCACCUGCUUCCACUCCCCACCUCUAAUUGCCUACGUGGUUGGGCUCGGAGCUCUUCAGGACACGGCCCAUCUCUCACUGCAUGUACAUACAGCGCCUCAGCACAAUGGAGCCUUGUCUUGGUUGGGGCCUUAAAGUGUUCAUGUAAUCCGAACAGGAAUAAAAGGUAUGCCCAGACAGCAAGGCAAGCUUCCCAGACGUGCUGCCCUGCAAGCGUGUCUGGAACCCGAUGUGCUGGGAGCUGCCUCUGUUCCCAGUCCUUGGCUUCUCACAGCCCGCCAGCGAAGCAUUAACCGGUUCCAGUUACACUGGUGAGGUGAACUAGCACGUUCCCAGUUCCACCGGGAAGCUGGUGUGAAAUCACUGAACUCAUUCUGCAAACUCCAGCAGAGCCUGAUAGGAACCUCCAUCCCUGCAGCCCCGGGUCCGCGCCGCCUCCCUGCCCGUGAGGAGCUCCUCACUCAGCCCUGAAGCUCAGAGCCAGCCCGUCCCGCUCCGAGCCCACACCGGGCUGAGCCUGCUCCGGUUUGCCGGUGGAGAAACAAGCAGAGGCAUUUCCCUCCCUUGUCUGAGGAGGGUACUGCUGGAGAAUGUAACGAAGGAAAGCAGCUGAAGAAAGAAAAGCUGUUCCUGUGGGUCGGUGAGCAGAACACCUACAAGGUUGUGUUUUGGUUCCCUGCUCUCCCAGAAAGUGCUGGUAUGGCUCCAGCUGCCCACUGGAGAUGCCCAAGUUAGGAUCUGUUCUGCAGCAACUCCUCCUGGCAGCAGCACCAAGAUGCUGAACCCAGCACCCCAAACUGUCACGGCUGCUCGGGAUUGAUGACAUCUAGAAUGAUACGUGUUGGGCUGUCAGAACGGAACGGGAGCAGCACAGCUUGGCUUCGGGAGCCAAAAAUAGGCUGUGGUUUGCUCACGUGCUGCUGCAGUGUCACCCACCCUCCCCAGGCCCAGGAAGUGCUCGGAAGGGGGAUUUUGUCCAUGCUGAUGGCUGCAUUGGCAUUCCCGUGUUCUUGAUGUCAUCACUUGCAUUACCCUGUCUUUCCCUAAAGGACUCCACAGAUGCAGGUGAUCAGCCCCAUGAGCAGAGGAUGGCUUCCAGAGCUGGGGAGAGACGACAGCGCUGGGUAGCCACUGGGAAGCAUGCCUUAGCCUCUUCUGUUGUGUGUGAGUGCAGGGUGUAUGGGCUGUGUGUGGGGAGAAGUGAAGCAGGGAGCAACUGUGCCAAGAACAAGGGAAAUUAAGGAUUCCAGCCAUAUGACCCAAGACAUCAGCUGUACCUAUCAAGGAACUAAAACCCAAAGUGACAGGGCUGUGUUAGUGACCUGCCACGCCAGGCAGAGGGCAGGUUUAAUUGGUAUCUGUAAAGUGUGCUGGGAUAACCAGGAGCAAUGGACUGUAUAUUUUCCAGGCAUCCUCUGUUGCUGGCCUAAGAUUGUUUCCUUGAUUCCCCAAGCCCAGAGGCAAUGACUGUUUCUGUGUGCUGUCAAUUCUCUUCCUCUUGCUUUUAGCCUUUCUCUUCUCCGUGUUUUUCCUCUCUGUUUGGAAUUGCUCUCACACCACUGCAGUCUCCCUUCCCUGCCUUGGCUGGCACUGGCACCAGGAGAAUAUGGGAUAGUGUUUACAUAGCACUGCAGCUCCUGGACUCAGGAGAUGUGAAGUGUGGACCUGCUGUGCUCCCUUUGGUGACUCACACCACCUCUCCCUGGUUCUGAUCUUCUACCUUCCUGCCAGGCUAACCUUCUCUGGGGAAAGGACUUGCUUUUAGUGUGUGAUCCUACCGUGUCUAAUACAAUAGGACCCAACCUCAGCUGUAGAGGAGGCUGAUCCUGUUCACAUGAGAGGGCAUGGGCCAUCUGCUUCGUCUCUUACUGGAUAUGCAAAAAGUCUUGCAGCCAAAGAGUUUGGAUGGGAUGCAGUAAUCCCUGCCUUUUGGAUUCUAGGUUCCCUCUAUCUACAUCUGAAAUCCCUAAAUAAACAAACAUUGGAUUAGACCUCAACAGCUCCCUCUGCUCAGCAACUGAAGCCUUUAAAAGCAUUUCACACCAACUGCUCUGCUCAUGUUUCAGACUCUCUUCACCACUGACUCAAGCCAAGGAGCUCCUUCUUGCUCUCAAACUUGUCAGGGAACUAACCUUAGUUAUUGGAAGGUCUGGCUCCAUCUGUGACCCUCCCUAACUCCAUCGAGGAGUUGGAAUUGUUUAGCUGUUGACAUCGGGAAUGCCGUGAAUAUGCACUGGGGUUAGAGGGCUCCUGGCAAGCGGCCCACUAACCUAGGAUUUGCUCUGCAGAGCCAGGAGGGUGACUUUUAACCUCAGAGCAGUUUCAAAACCUCAGCUGUGACCAAUAAACAUGAAAAAUGAAUGAUAAAAGAAGAAUCUAGUCCCUCCUGAAUGAUGAAAGAUGUGCACCUUCCUGGCACUAUGGUGCUGGAAUUGGCAUGGAGACCUAUGCAGGAACAAUCAAACAGGUCAUCACUGCCAGGAGUCAUCAGUGGAUGUAGCUGGUGCCUCACACACAAGGGAGGCAGCUCAGCAGAUUAAACCGAAGGAGCCCUGAGGCUGAAGCCCUUUCCCGGAGCAGCAGGCACCCACCUCACCGCAGCGCUGCACUUGCCUUCCCCACAGUUCCUCGCAAGAGGUAACCUAAAAACCUCAGCAAUUUAAUCCUGUGUUGCCACUGAUGCAGGCCAUCGUCAGCAUGGAAACUUACCCUGUAUGAGGAACACAAUAGCUUGUAUGAGGUCCAGCACUUGGAGAGGACAUGGUAUGUUCUCAGUGUAUUUCAGACACCUGCUGCCAGUAGAGACAUGGGAGUUUUCCAGGUGGUCUUCAUUCCUGUUCCUAAAUCCUCACCUUUCUGCUCUGCCUCCCUUCCUCAGUCUGUCCCAUUUCAGUCUGUUCCUGAAAUGUUCCUAUUUCUACAUUGCUGUCUCUACAGAAUUCCCUUUUCUUGGUGCCCUUGCUGCAUCUCACACGCACCCUCGGGGUCCCACGUCCUCCUCCCUCGCCCUGCUCCAGCUCUCCUGUCUGAUCCCUUUUGCCCAGCAAGUUCUCCUUCAGCCCGUAGCCAGGUAACAUACUGGCCUUGAUAGCCCUGCUCCGCCUGGGCUGCACAUCCUUCUCCCGGCAGUUUUCUCCUAUUCCCGGUCUGUUUUCAAGUCUUCUCCCACAGAAGGCUGGCUUCCAGACUCUUGCCUGUGGGCUUUGCUUUAUCCCUCCUUCCAGGCAGACCCAGUUUCCCCUUCCAACUCCCUGUUCCCUUUCACUGCUGCGGAGAACCUGUCUUUCUCCAGAUCCUUUGUGCCUGCCAACUUACUUAUCCCGGAGCCAGUUCUUGUCCCCAUCCCAUGUCAUUCAGGGAGCUUUCUGCUCGGCGUUUCCCAAGAGGACUGGAAGGACGGGUUCCUUGCUUGCCCUUCCUGCCUUCCUAGACUUGGCAUGGUCCGGAGAAGCUGGGAACUGGAACUGCAGGUCCAGCUCCGACUCCCACAGGCUUGGGCUGUGAUGUGCUGGGUGAGCACAGAACUGCUGGAGAAGCACUGAAUCCAAGAUCCCUGAUAGAAGGAAUGAAAGAAGAAGUGUUUAUAAUUUACCCUGAUGGAUGGAUUUAAGAUGCUUAAAUUUCAGUGCAGUGGUUAGUCUGGCACUAUUAACAGUGACUGAAGUAUAAAUUGCAGUUCUUUCCUGGUAAUCCUUCUGGCAUAUCAGAUAUCCGCAGAACUCGGCAAGCAUAAUAUGGUGAAACCCAAACAUCCUUCUGAGGAGGUAAUUACUCAUCCUUGUGAAAAUGCUCCGGGAUAUUUUUAGUGGAGGACAAAACCCCUGCUUCCUGACAGCUACACCGAGCAGAAUUACAAAAUAAUGAAGUUUCACCAUGAGAAACACUUCAGACACCUGUAUUGGCUGAGAGCUUGUACUCAUGGCGACGGUUCAUCAGCCCUGCACAUCGUGGUGUCUGUGAACGCACACCUGCGGGUCGUGCCCUGCAGAAUAUGUCAGUGUCUGCCCUGCUGAAGAGCCUCUAAAUAAACAAAUGUGCAAAUCC